rnacentral:rRNA from 1 species
UACGGGGGGGGGCAAGCGUUGUUCGGAAUUACUGGGCGUAAAGGGCUCGUAGGUGGCCAACUAAGUCAGACGUGAAAUCCCUCAGCUUAACUGGGGAACUGCGUCUGAUACUGGAUGGCUUGAGUUUGGGAGAGGGAUGCGGAAUUCCAGGUGUAGCGGUGAAAUGCGUAGAUAUCUGGAGGAACACCGGUGGCGAAGGCGGCAUCCUGGACCGGCAUUGACGCUGAGGCGCGAAAGCUAGGGGGAGCAAACGGG